AUGUCAACUAGAGGCCUCUAUCUGAAGCCGCUGAGCCCACAGAUUAAAUCUAGUGAUCUUCUAUCAAACCAGAAUCAGUCUUCCACUGGUAUUCCAGCAGAGAAGAAUCUACAAACUGGUGCAUCAACUAAACAUGACUCCUUUAACUCCCUUGAGUCCCGCUCCCCAUACCGUCCCUCAACAAGCUGGCUGGCUGACUUUGGUAAUGUAUACUACUACAGUAAGUUACCUGUUGUACGGCAACAUCCUGACCUUCCAGAGAAGCAGCAACCAAAGAUGUCCCUUGCCAUUAGUCUUGAACCACCUCCUCUCAGAAAUGGGAAAAACACAAAGAACCAAAGACCAGCAAUUGGCAUCUCAGAUCAGAAGCACUGUUCACUUCAUACUUGCAAGUGCAAAGCAAAAAGCAGUUUGAGGUUAGCUGGAUCUUCCGUGAAGUGUGAUUGGGUUUCUCAUUCCACACUGCAGAAUAAACUUCGCUUCUGCACAUCAUGUAGAUAUGAUGUGAAAGGAAAGGAUCAUAGGAAGCCGCCUUUUUCAGACGGUUUUAGGUGCAAAAGAGAAGAGACUACUGAAUUGAAUAACUUUUACAUGAAGAGUGCUACUGAGGGCUUCCAUGGUACCCCAAAGAUGACUUCAGGAAGUCAUUUGGCAAAAUGCUGUGCUGCUUCUCUGGGUAAACCGAGUGAAAAGACUGGACUGUGUGAAGAUUGCCAAUGCCUUAAUCCCAGCCCUGCUCAAGAUAAAUGUGGUGACCUUGGAUGGCGAAUUUGGGAAAAGAGUGAGGAAGACUGGAUUAACAACCCAAAUCAGAGAAUGUUACAGAGACUGCAGAAAGACAAUGCAUGGAAAGCAAGUAUGCAGGUGUCUAAAACUGAAAGAAGGAUUCAGAAAAAAGAAAGGAAAGAGUACUCCCAAGAGAUCACACAAGAGGAAGACACAAUGUUUAUUGCUACCGGUGGUCAGUGUGCACACCCCAUGGAGAGCUAGAAGGUGCAUUAACAUCACAAACGUUCAAACCUUCCUACAAUAAAAUACCCACCUGUAUGGUUUUUAAGCAGUGAUUUAAUAAAGUACUUAUGAGUGUGAACAUGCUGUUUGCUUUCACCGAAGCCUCCGAAGGUCCAUUUGAAGUUCUCAAUUAUAUUUUUAAUAAAUACUGCUGAAAACUAUAUGCAUUUAAGACAGUGUGAUGCAAACUUCUUGAGCACAUUAGAUGCGUCUAAUGAUAAGAGUGUUGUAUCUUCUGCUUUAAUGAGAUCGAAAUGAGAUGUAAAUUUUAGAUUUCUAAACAUUUAUUUUUCAAAUUGCACAACAAAAGGC
rnacentral:lncRNA from 1 species